rnacentral:rRNA from 1 species
CAGUCGCCGCGGUAAAACGUAGGUGGCAAGCGUUGUCCGGAAUUAUUGGGCGUAAAGGGCUCGCAGGCGGUUUCUUAAGUCUGAUGUGAAAGCCCCCGGCUCAACCAGGGAGGGUCAUUGGAAACUGGGAAACUUGAGUGCAGAAGAGGAGAGUGGAAUUCCACGUGUAGCGGUGAAAUGCGUAGAGAUGUGGAGGAACACCAGUGGCGAAGGCGGCUUACUGGCUCAUACUGGACGCUGAGGUGCGAAAGCGUGGGGAGCAAACAGGAUUAGAUACCCCGGUAGUCCCUGUCUCUUAUAC